rnacentral:misc_RNA from 1 species
AGUUCCAGACCACUAAAGGCAGCAGUAAAAAGGUAUGCUCUUGCAAAGCUAGCUCAGGGUUUCUUCUUUCCUUCAUUUAGAGGGAAGGAUUGAAGGUAUAGGGCCUUUAGCUUUCCCUGUCCCCCUUGUAUUCGGUAGAAGCUUUACAGAAUUACUAUGAAGCUAUGUGACUAGAAAUUUAUGGGUCUAGCAUGAGAUCAGUUUACUCCAAAACCGGAGCAUCUUGAGUUUAGUAGCCUCAUUUUAUGUAUUUACUUUUACAGUAUUUGUUGUGGCUUCAUUAGAACUAACUUUUUUCUGGUACUAGAUGAUUGAAAGUCACAAACUCUCCAUGCCUUAGUCUUCAUCUUUUUAUGGAAUGUAGAGUUCUGUCAUCGUGGUUCUUCAAAAAUUUGAUUGGUCAGUCAUACAUUGAUUAUAUCUAGUUCCUGGGGCUGAUCUUUGCAUUUAGAAAUCAGCAUGUGAAUAUAUGUAGUAGAAAAAACAUCAAAUGAGCUAUGUGAGUAUAUGCGGUAAAAAUUAUCGUGUACC